rnacentral:lncRNA from 1 species
GGCGCGCGCCGCCGUGAGGGCGCCGCGGCGGCUUCCGGUUCCGCCGGGCGCGGCGGCCGCGGCGCUUCCCGGGCAUGCUGCAUGGUGUCCUGUGGUGCUUCCUGUGGGAUAGAGGAAUGAAGGGAAGGGGCAGAGACAAUGAGUUUAAGGCAUUCACGGAGCAGCAGUGCAGACUCUCGCAUAACAAGGCUGUGAAAUCUGAUCUCUGGAACUCUCAGUGAAGACAUCUACUUGAUACUUGCAAUGUAAAUUAGCCUGUAUUCUAGUAUCUUUGGAUGUUCACUUUAUCUUUGAUCAGUAUGUUCUCCAUUUGCUGCCCUGAUACACCCAAGGGAGCCCUACAAACUGACAUCAGGAACCUGGACUGCUGAGUUUUCUUUCCCAGGGAAAAUGGAAAAAGGAUG